rnacentral:rRNA from 1 species
UACAGAGGUCUCAAGCGUUGUUCGGAUUCAUUGGGCGUAAAGGGUGUGUAGGUGGCGCCGUAAGUCGGGUGUGAAAUUUUAGAGCUUAACUCUGAAACUGCAUUCGAUACUGCGGUGCUUGAGGACUGGAGGGGAGACUGGAAUUUACGGUGUAGCAGUGAAAUGCGUAGAUAUCGUAAGGAAGACCAGUGGCGAAGGCGGGUCUCUGGACAGUUCCUGACACUGAGGCACGAAGGCCAGGGGAGCAAACAGG